CCGUGCCAUGCCUAGCCUCUAUCCACCAUUAUAGCACUGCUCGAGCUCGCUAGCGAUGCUCCAGAGCCUUCCCCUCGGCUAUAUGAGCGUGCCCCGAGCCCUCCCACAACUCAUCCACUCCUCACUUGCCUCCCUAGCCCAGCGGAAUCCUCGGCCCUCUCUUCUUUUCGCCGGAGGACGCCAUGGCCGCCUCGGUUCCUCCUUGGUUCCGGCGAACCUAGCCCCUCCCCUCUCCUCCAGAGUUGUGCAAUAGCUUCCCCUCGUCACCGCGGUUCGCCCCACCCCACUAUUUCCACCCCGGAGUGCCUCUAGCGACGCCUCCCCACGCACGGCCGCCGCCUCCAUCGUUCGGCCACCCACCCGCCGGCCUUUCCGAGCUCUCUCCCUCCCGACUCCACCACCGCGUUCCCCUCGUCCCGUAGAGCCGCGCCACCCCCUCAUCUCUCGCCGGAGCGCCUUACUUCGUCGAGUGUCACCACCGGCCGCCCGCCUCUGCUCCUCUCUGCCGCCACUCACCGCCGUCACUCCCAGCCAUCCUCUCGCUCCCUCUCAGCGGGGAUGGACGCGAGAGGCUGAGCCGCGCCCGCCGAUGGCCUCUGCUUGGCCGGGCCUGGCCGGAGCAGCCCGCCCCGUCGCCGGCAGCUGGACCCCUCCUCUGUCUCCUCUGUAUCGCGCGGGGAGGGGGGGCAGCAAGGAAGAAGACGCUCGAGCCUGGCCCUCCUUCCUGUCGCCUGGGCCCCGCCGUCAGUGGCCCAGCCGGCCCAGCUGACGUGGCAAGUGCAAGCGCCCCCGAGUGAGGACCCGUUGGUGAUAAAAUCUUCACAGAUUGGUCCUUCUUCUUCCAACCUUCACAACUUUUCAAGCGUAACUUCGAUCGAGCCCCCUUUGAGAAUGAACCGUUCGACGUUUCGUUCCGCGGCUUCACGGCACUUCUUCCUAGAGUCUCCGUCACCCCAGGCAAGCCACAAUACCCACUUGCAUGAUAGUCAUGCAGUAGCCAUGGUUUCCAACUUGAAUAUUUAUUAAAUGUUUGCUUGUUUAAAAUAUGGUUAUCGUUGUUUCGGUAAUGAUUCUUGGUCAGUGCUUACUCUCUUGCUAUAUUGUUAUGCACCUGGUUAUCAUGCCCUGCUAGUUGAUGGUAUUCCUUUCAUAUGCUUAUGCUUGCUAGUAGUACAUGUUGAUGUUGGUAAUGGUCUUCGGUGCACGACUGACAUCUGUCCCGAGUACCGUUGUUAUGCAUGUUCCAUUGCAUCCAGUUGGUUAAAUGCUUGCAUGAUGGCAUUGUUGAUAUGUUCUUGCAUGAUAAUUAUUGUUGAUGCUAGUGGUCAUGCUAUGUUUCGGAGAAAUAUGUACUUAUGAUGUUCAUGCUAAUCAGUAUGCCGUGCUCACUUGGAUAUGAUUCAUUGUUGAUAUGAUGGAUAGUUAUGUGGUACCCUCAUGAUUAUGUUGAUAUCAUGCUCAUGCAUUGUAAUUGCAUCAUGUUAUUUUAUCAUGGAUCAACAUAUUUGCAUUCAAGUUUAACCGGAUUAAAUUGAACUUGAACAACU